AGUUUGUUUAUGAUUUUGACCAUUUCUAGAUGAGAGAUUUUUGCCCAAAAAACUGUCCAUUGAAAUUUGGCUUAAAUUUUUUUUUGAAGAACUAUAGUUACUGUUGCCGACGAUCCAAGUAUAACUCGACUGUAUAGUACAUGUAAUUUUGACCAAGAUAUUUGAAGUUCGUAUCUCGACAUCGAACAUGCAGUGUAAUUAUACUUUUAUGAACGAUGAUAUUGUUGUUUCGAACUUUAGAGUAUAUGUUAGUUUGAGAAUCCAGUAGAGAACAUUUGAUAAAUGAAGGUGUAUGAUGAUGUAUUUCUGUGAGUCUAUUGUUUAAGCAUGGUGGUCAGUACUCGUCCAAGGAGUAGGAGCACGUGGUGGAUAUACGCCCCACCAUUGGCAAACUAGUAGAGGUCACGUUAGUAGCACGUGAUAUGAGAUCACAAACAGAGUGGGCUUUGGUGAGGGAAACAUUUACAGUGAAAGCAGUGGAGGGAGGCCUCUCCCAUCUGUCAAUCCACUUACCUCACCCAAUUGGGACAACAACGCAUUCCACGGACCCUAUUGGUAAAGGAAAUUCAUGAAUCCCACAGCUCUGUUUUG